GUAUGUAGCCUAACCUCUGCGAACUUGGCGCGUAGCUUCUCUUUGUCGUUUCUGUUGCCUUCUGACCUUCUGGCUCGGAGCAUAUGAAUAGUUUAUAUUUCUAGUGACUGACUAGAGACGCGAGCCUCAGAAACGCCUCAGUCUUCUCCUUUGUUCUCAAAAUCUCAUUCAGUUUAUUUGCUUUGCUUUAGCUCAUCACUUCUUCUUUUUCAGAAACUAGGUUCACUUUUUCAUGUAUUCUAAUCGUUGGUUUGUUUGCAGGUAUGGGAUUGGAUCAUUGCUGCAUUUCAUCACUGCUGAUUUGAUCACUUGAUGCAUCACUUCUUUUGCCGACAAGUGUCAAAUCUCAUCACUCCCUGAGGUUCCACUGUUUAAUGUGUGAUUCUGGGUGGCCCCUUUAUCCGAUUCCCUCUGGCGACCCUGCCUGGUCUGCUUUCCUGCGGUGGACUGCGGACUGUGGAUACCACUUGUUUACAUUGGUUUUUUUAAAUUUUUCAUUGUUGCCUGAGAGUAGCCAAACCCUCGCCUUCCAUCGUCUUUUCUUGUGAUUGAUUGGUGUCCCUCUGGACUGACGACACUGCUUGGUCUGCUUUCCUGCGGUGGACAGCGGACUGUGGAC